rnacentral:rRNA from 1 species
UACGUAGGGUGCAAGCGUUAAUCGGAAUUACUGGGCGUAAAGCGUGCGCAGGCGGUUGUGCAAGACGGAUGUGAAAUCCCCGGGCUUAACCUGGGAAUUGCAUUCGUGACUGCAUGGCUAGAGUGUGUCAGAGGGGGGGUAGAAUUCCACGUGUAGCAGUGAAAUGCGUAGAUAUGUGGAGGAAUACCGAUGGCGAAGGCAGCCCCCCUGGGAUAACACUGACGCUCAUGCACGAAAGCGUGGGGAGCAAACAGG